CAGUCGCCACGGUAAGACAGAGGAUGCAAGCGUUAUCCGGAAUGAUUGGGCGUAAAGGGCUCGCAGGCGGUUUCUUAAGUCUGAUGUGAAAGCCCCCGGCUCAACCGGGGAGGGUCAUUGGAAACUGGGAAACUUGAGUGCAGAAGAGGAGAGUGGAAUUCCACGUGUAGCGGUGAAAUGCGUAGAGAUGUGGAGGAACACCAGUGGCGAAGGCGACUCUCUGGUCUGUAACUGACGCUGAGGAGCGAAAGCGUGGGGAGCGAACAGGAUUAGAUACCCCCGUAGUCCCUGUCUCUUAUAC
rnacentral:rRNA from 1 species